AAACUUGUUAAAGGAUGGACAUUCGAUUCCACACGGAAUACGAAUCUUACUCAACUGGGGAGGACGACUUCGACCCAAGAGCGCAUGAGAUAUAUUAUCUAUAGCCGUCAAAACGUAGAUAAUAUACUCGCAUGGAAGAUUAUCCAUAACCGGGUUGUAGGUUGUUAAAUGGAUAAAUCAACCGACAUCAUUCUGAAGAGAGCGAAAGCAAACUUGUUAAAGGAUGGACAUUCGAUUCCACAAGGAAUACGAAUCUUACUCAACUGGGGAGGACGACUUCGAC
rnacentral:lncRNA from 1 species